rnacentral:tRNA from 1 species
UUUUAUUGUGCAAUUCAAUAUAAUUUGAUAAAUUUUUUCUUACUUUUUUUAUUUAAUUUUUUAUGAGAAUUAUCUU